UACGUAGGGGGCAAGCGUUGUUCGGAAUUACUGGGCGUAAAGGGCGCGUAGGCGGCACGGCAAGUCAGGAGUGAAAGGCCUGGGCUCAACCGAGGAACUGCUUUUGAGACUGCCGAGCUAGAGUGCAGAAGGGGGCAACUGGAAUUCCCGAGUGUAGCGGUGAAAUGCGUAGAUAUUGGGAAGAACACCUGAGGCGAAGGCGGGUUGCCU
rnacentral:rRNA from 1 species